rnacentral:rRNA from 1 species
UACGUAGGGUGGCGAGCGUUAAUCGGAAUUACUGGGCGUAAAGGCGUGCGCAGGCGGUUCGCUAAGACCGAUGUGAAAUCCCCGGGCUUAACCUGGGAACUGCAUUGGUGACUGGCGGGCUAGAGUAUGGGCAGAGGGGGGGUAGAAUUCCACGUGUAGCAGUGAAAUGCGUAGAGAUGUGGAGGAAUACCGAUGGCGAAGGCAGCCCCCUGGGCCAAU